rfam:Salmo salar isolate Sally breed double haploid chromosome ssa01, whole genome shotgun sequence.
UGCAUUCACUACUGUAAGUCGCUCUGGAUAAGAGCGUCUGCUAAAUGACAAAUC